GGAGUGGUAGUUUAGUGGUAGAAUUCUCGCCUUCCAUGCGGGAGACCCAGGUUCAAUUCCCGGCCAACGCA
rnacentral:tRNA from 1 species